UUUAAAAAUGAGCAUGUGACUGGUAAUGGCUUCAAUAUGAUUUGUCCCCCUGGCACUCCGCUGAAAUUUGGUUGUCAUUAUUAAGGUGGUACUGGGAGGUGUGACCUUUAGCAGCUCCUUUCUGCUUUCUCCCAUGAGCUGAAGCAAGACCCUCACCAAAAGCUGAAUGGAUGCCGGUGUCAUGCUUUGAACUUCCCGGGAUGCUAGAACCAUGAGCCAAAAUAAACCUCUUUCCUUUAUCAAUUAUCCAGCCUUGAAUGAGUAUUCUGUUACAGUUACAGAAAAUGGACAAAGAUGUGACACAAGGGAAAACUAAUUUCUGGGCAAAAUUUUUGCUCCCCAAGAAAGAGUCAAAAGAAGAGAGAGUCCUUUAUCUUCUUCCUCCUGACAUUGCCUCAUGAUGUGAAGUUUUGUGCUAGCUUGGCCAUUUUGACUCAACUUUGUCAGAAAUCCAAUGUGGAUAAAAGAGAGGAGCAGAAAGAAUCUGGUUCUUCUUGACAUCACUGGUCUGCUGACUUAACCAACGGGAAGCUGUACUCAGCUUUGAACUUUCUGUCAUACUGAUAGAGGCACAGGAAAGUGCGGUGCAGAAGAGAAAGAAAUAGAACUCCCUGAAACCCUUGUAAAGAAAUGG